rnacentral:miRNA from 1 species
UUCUCUCUCUCUCUCUCUCUCUCUCUCUCUCUCUCUCCCCCCGCCCCGUGAAGAUAAAUUGAGACAGAGAGAGAGAGAGAGAGAGAGAGAGAGAGAGAGAG